UCUUAUGCUUGCAAACAGAGAUGGGCUGGUUGAAGGUGUGAAGGCUGGAGACGGCCUUGGCUGCACAGACCGUGAGACGUUCAGAUCUCACAAGGAGGAAGCAGGGCAAAAAAGAUCUCAACUCUAGACUUCAGGAGAGCAAACUUUGGCCUCUUCAGGGAUCUACUUGGAGAAAUCCCAUGGGUUAAGGCCUCAGAGAAAAAGAGGGCCCAAAGGAGCUGAGGGGAAGGACCCCAGAAGUGGCUGCCACCACCAAUUACAGAGGGAUCUUACCUGACUAGCUCCGACAAGAUGCCUAUAUCCCAGAUGACCCAAACAAGAUAAAAGAAUACAAAGCUUUGAUCUUCUGGUGCUUAUUGCACAAAAACAUCUGUGGAGUCUCUGCAACUCUCUGAAAAUUGAAAGCGCACACAACAUUGCUUCAGGUCUCCAGGUGGUGGCACCCCAGCCCUGUUUUUCUGUAAGGCAAUUAAAAAAGAAGAAAAAAAAAAAAAAAAAAAAAAAGGAAAAAAAAAUAAGCCACCUAAGAAGUCUAGGGGAGGCAAAUGUUUUGUUUCUUAUAAUUUGCUUCAUUUGUAGAUAAGAAUCUAAACUUUAAGAGCCAUACUUGGAAGGAAUCAUUAGUAAAACAAACCAAGGACUUAUCAUUGUUACCUAUGUUACUUCAUUUCUACUCUUUAAACUUUUUUAAAUAGUCUGUCGUUCUGUGCAUAGAGACUAUUUAUUAUUUCAUGCACUAUUUACUCAUGUUAAAAAUGAAGUGACAGAGAAUAGAGGCAAAGGUCUCCUGCUUGCAAGGAACAGUGGAUAAAUAUAUUUGUUUGUACUAUGGGUUUGCAGUUCCACUAGAAGGAACACUUGACAUUUUGAUGAGCGUCUCCAGGGAGAAAAGGUACUAACUUCAGAACUUAGUUUUAAUUAUACUAAGGAGAUUACAUUAUUCAAAAGCAUCCCACUGGUAAGGUGCAGCAUUUCCUGAAACAGUUUAGUGGAAAAUGCCACAUUAAUCAGUUCAGUAUUUCACUCAAAUGGCUUAAUGAUGGGAAGAAAAGUUGAAAGCACUGUAGUAUAAAAACAAAAAGAGACAGAAUGUUCAUUUAAGGGAAUAGGAUCACAUUUAAAUGACCUCUUUCAAGUGUACGUUUUUGAGAGGGAAAUGACAGUGGUGAGGAGGCAAUACUGUCUUAUUCUUGUUUGUAUGCUGAUACCCAUGGUGGUUAUGGUGCUGUGCUCAGAUGAAAAAAAGACACCAGGCACGCUUGUAAAGCUCACAGCUCUGCAAUUCAUGCCCAUGGCCCAUGACCAGGUACAGCAUAAAUAUAAUCUGGUCUAAAACAAUUGAAAUGUUGGCAUUCAGGCUGUCAGGCUUGGAACUCUAUUUAACGAAGGAGGCAGAGCAAGCAGCAAGCAUCUCCAGACCUGCUUUGGUUUGUCUGCCAUUACA